rnacentral:rRNA from 1 species
GGGUUUGACAUGCACAGGACGCGUCUAGAGAUGGGCGUUCCCUUGUGGCCUGUGUGCAGGUGGUGCAUGGCUGUCGUCAGCUCGUGUCGUGAGAUGUUGGGUUAAGUCCCGCAACGAGCGCAACCCUUGUCUCAUGUUGCCAGCACGUUAUGGUGGGGACUCGUGAGAGACUGCCGGGGUCAACUCGGAGGAAGGUGGGGAUGACGUCAAGUCAUCAUGCCCCUUAUGUCCAGGGCUUCACACAUGCUACAAUGGCCGGUACAAAGGGCUGCGAUGCCGUGAGGUGGAGCGAAUCCUUGGUAAAGCCGGUCUCAGUUCGGAUCGGGGUCUGCAACUCGACCCCGUGAAGUCGGAGUCGCUAGUAAUCGCAGAUCAGCAACGCUGCGGUGAAUACGUUCCC